GUGUCUCAGAUUGCCAGCACCAUGUGAUGGGAGCUCCAGGGCAUGCUGCGUGCUCGCCAGGAGGGGCUGGGCAAGAUGGCGUAGUCGCUGGAGCAGCUGCGGGCGCGGCACCGCCGCUCUCACCCUGGCGGAGUGCAGCAACACAGUGGGGCGGCACCAGCGGGACACUCUGGACAACGCAGCCAAGGCUGUUGCCCCGCUCGCCCGACUCGUUGAGAGGCUUGCCCACCCCCCAGGGCGUUGUCGUGAAGAUACCGCUGGGAGGAAGAAUAUCUCACAAUACUGGAAGAGGCGGUGGUGUUGCAAGCCUGUAAUCCAGCAGUGGAAGGCAGCAAGGGUGAGUGGAUCACACAGUGAAUGUUGUGAAACCCCCUUCCUGUGGGCAUCGAUGUGCCUUCUCCUGGCUGGCUGGCUAGAAGGCAGUACAGAAAGUGGGAUAAUCGCCAUCUUUUCCUAUACGGUUUAAAGUGCUGCCCCCCGGGGUUUCUCCAGGUGCUCCGGUUUCCCCCACUUGUGUAAGAACUCCUCAUUCAUUCGUCGAAAACUUAAAAAAAAAACAAUUCAGGACCCGACUGUGACUCAGUGUGGAUUUCCUGGACUAAGUCUAUUUUAUUAUUAUAAAGAAUUAAAGGGGCUGUUUGAUGACACGACUAGAGAGCUGGCUUGCACUGCAGGGAACUUAAUAUUCAACUUGUAUUCCGCAACCCUCAAUGGCCAUUUUAAGUUAAAUUUGUGCAUGUAAGACUCGCACAAACAACCAUACCCAGAAACCCAUAGACCCCAACAGAGACCCAUACAUUCCUACAGACACUUACUCACACAGCGACCCCAUACUCACAGAGACCGAUAGACAUGCACAGAGACCCAUAGCCUCACACAGAGAUCCAUACACUCAAAGGCCCAAAAACUCACACAGAAAUCCAUAGAUUCGC